rfam:[Candida] intermedia strain CBS 141442 genome assembly, organelle: mitochondrion
GGGAUCAUAGAUUAAUUGGUAAAUCUUUCGCUUUGCAUGCGAACAAUAUCGGUUCAAUUCCGAUUGAUUCCA